UUUCCGUAGGUGAACCUGCGGAAGGAUCAUUGUCGAUACCUAGACCAAAACGACCCGCGAACGAUCGAUCAUCACUCUCGGCCGGCCGGUUUCUUAGCCGAUCCCGUGCUUGCCGAUUCCGUGGCUAUGCGUACGGUACGGUCAAGAUUUAACAUCUUGGUCGGCUCAUGCGCCUAGCUUCCGGACAUCACAAAAACCCCGGCACGAAAAGUGUCAAGGAACAUGCAACUAAACAGCCCGCAUCCGCCAGCCCGGAGACGGUGAUCUGCGCGGAUGCUGUGCUGGAAUAUAAAGUCUAAAACGACUCUCGGCAACGGAUAUCUCGGCUCUCGCAUCGAUGAAGAACGUAGCGAAAUGCGAUACUUGGUGUGAAUUGCAGAAUCCCGUGAACCAUCGAGUCUUUGAACGCAAGUUGCGCCCCAAGCCUUCUGGCCGAGGGCACGUCUGCCUGGGUGUCACAAAUCGUCGUCCCCCCAUCCUCCCGAGGAUACGGGACGGAAGCUGGUCUCCCGUGUGUUACCGCACGCGGUUGGCCAAAACCCGAGCUAAGGACGCCAUGAGCGCCUCGACAUGCGGUGGUGAAUCAAAGCCUCGUUAUACCGUCGAUCGCUCUGGUCCGGAUGCUCUCGAUGACCCAAAGUCCUCAACGCGACCCCAGGUCAGGCGGGAUCACCCGCUGAGUUUAA
rnacentral:rRNA from 1 species